CUAUCAGGGAAUGUUCGGCCCAUGAAUAUAAACUGCCUUGCAAAGCCCGGUCGGUAAGGGAUGAAUAGUUUUCGAGAAAUCAAAGUUCUAAAAAUUUCGAACUACGACACUACUUUGAAACGAUAUAAAACUGGUUUCCCAAAGCGUGAGGGGAUCGCCCAUUUCAGGAUCUGUUCAGUUUUACUAGAGUAAACUACAGGCGAAGUCGGGGCGCUGUAGCUCAGAUACUUUCUAAGAAAAUUGCGAUUUACAUAUUUUUUUCCGACAUCGGCCUGCCGAAAAGGUGCUUUCUCGGGCCGACCGGGGCGCAGGGCCGCGCGCCCAGCCAAUGGGCUGG